rfam:TPA: Bos taurus chromosome 22, whole genome shotgun sequence.
UCCCUAGUAGCUCAAACGGUAAAGCUUCUGCCUGCAAUGCAGGAGACCCAGGUUCAAUCCCUGGGUCGGGAA